CUGUAAAGUUCAUGUCUGUGUCCCGGUUGGUCAAAGCGUUAGCGGUUAACUAACCAGCGCUAACCUCAUCAUGCAGGUUCAGCCGG